GUUCAGCCUCCGUCCAGGCGGUGGCGGUAGAUCAAAUCACAUGUACUCCUGAGGGUAGGGGGGAGGUCAGUGAACCCGAACAACCCGGGUGUGAAAGAAGCAGCCUGAGCGGGGUUUGGACGCUGAUCUUUUCUUUAACAUUAUUCUGAUGCGACAUGGAUUGCUUCUCCUAGAGUUUUUAUUUUAUCCAGAGUUAACGCAGUUAAGUCUGAAACGGUCAUUUUGUUUCACCGUUACCUCGUUGGAAAAGUGGACUCUUCCGUGCUAAAGAUUUAGGACACGCGGUUUCAUCCGAGCUCCUGUUGAAGGAUGUCCUCGAGGCAGUGGGACAACUACGCCGACUGGCUGGAGGAGAAAUCCCGAGAUUUACGGCGCGAUUCCUCCCAGAAAUAUUACAGAGAAGGACACGAAUACAGGAGUAAGGAGCACAGGAAAGAUCCGUCUGGCAGGGACCGGAAGAGGAGUACGGAGCGGAGACGAGCGUCCUCGCCUGACCGGGAAGCUUUAGAUAAGAAAUGGUUAGCUGAGGAGAAGAAUUACAGAUACAGGAGGGAGUCUGUGGGAGGGAAACAAUCACUAGAGACUUACAGAGAUACAGACCUCAGGUAUAGAAGAACGUCUCCAGAUUCCAGACACGCGUAUCGCCACCACGACGCUACAAGCAAACAACAACAAGGCAGUGAUCCGACCUACAGGAGGUUGACUGAUGGUCACAGAGGUGGCGACAGGAGUUACGAUUACCCAGUGAAUCACUCUGCAAAGGUCAGUCCUUGUAUGCACGAUGAAGCUUUUUCUCUUUUCUUUAUCCUCAUAAAGUCCAUUUUUGUGUUAAGCAGAGAAAUGUGAAACCCAGAGAAAGGUCAAACAGUCCGUCUGCAGCAACGUUUCGUGAAGACCGUCCUAAAGAUAGAUGUAAAUAUGGACAGAAUGGAUCUGACAAGCAGGCUGUCUUACCUGCAGUGAACCAUGAAUUUUCGAUCGUGGGAAGGCUUUCACCAAGCCAUGCAGGCCCAUAUGGGCCGGAAUCCCUUCAAUGGAGCUAAUAACAACAGUACCUUUGGGACCGUUUUAGGAUAUAAUUUUAACAGUCCAUAUUACAUGUACUCUGCUGUGGAAUCGUACAGAACGGCUUGGGGUGUUGGGAACACCUCAAAUAGUUUUCUUGGCUGCCAAAGCCCUGUAUAUCCUAUCCUGGUUAACUGUGACAUGGAACACUUGAGAUAUGCUUCCCUGGAACCACAACACAGCAGCGGGACAGUGCAAACCCUGCCACAAAGUGAGGACAGUACAUACUCCAGAUAUCCUCCUGUUGAAACACAACACAGCAGCAGGACAGUGCAAACCCUGCCACAAAGUGAGGACAGUACAUACUCCAGAUAUCCUCCUGUUGAACCACAACACAGCAGCAGCAGGACUGUAGAAUCCACUGUUUCAUCAUUCCAACCAACCAGCAACAGUGAGGAGCUGAGAUCAGGUUCCUGUAACAGUGAGGACUCCGAUAGAGACGGGAUAAAGGAGGAUUUGGAUGCUGAGCUGCUGAGGAAAAAGAACAAGCUCAGAGAAAUAGAAGAGCAGAUACUGAAACUUAAAGCCACCAUUGGGUAUGAAGCAACAGACACCGUCAUGAACACAGCAGAUAGUUUACAUCUCAAUCCUUCUCUAAGAGUCCGAGUGAUGGAGCUUUUACUGCAGAGACAUUCUCCUGGCUUCUUCUCAAAGGCUGAUAGAAUGAGGAUAAACCCGUCGAACCCAAGCAAAGAGAGUCGUCAUUCUCUGCAGUCCAGAGUGAAGGCUCUGAUUGAGCAGAAGAACAAGGAUCCCUCUGCUUUACUCGCCUUUAGGAAGGAGUUCACUGUUGAUCACAAAAGAGUUGUCGUCUCCCAGGACUACAACAUCUCUCCAUCGCCACCUCCUCCCAGUAAGAGCCAGGACUACAACGUCUCUCCAUCUUCUCCACCUCCCAGUAAGAGCCAGGAUUACGUCUCUCCAUCUCCAUCUCCACCUCCUCCCAGUAAGAGCCAGGAUUACGUCUCUCCAUCUCCAUCUCCACCUCCUCCCAGUAAGAGCCAGGACUAUAACGUCUCUCCAUCUCCAUCUCCACCUCCUCCCAGUAAGAGCCAGGACUACAACGUCUCUCCAUCUCCAUCUCCUCCACCUCCCAGCAAGAGCCUGGACUACAACGUCUCUCCAUCUCCACCUCCUGCCAGUAAGAGCCAGGAAUACAACGUCUCUCCAUCUCCACCUAUUGCCAGUAAGAGCACCAGUCCACCAGCAGAAAGUGAAAGCACCAGCAGCAGAGGUUUUGAACGCUUCCUCAACAUUCUCAACAAAGGGGUCGACCUGGACCUGCUCAGUCGGAUCGUCACUGAUGACACGGUGGAACUUCCGGACGACGAUGAAAUCCUGAGCGUCCGUCAGCUUGAUGUCGAAGAUGCCUCACAGACAGAUGUUCUUAGUGAGAUCCAGCAGGUAGAGAGGGACACGGAGGUGGAGUCACAGAGAGGGGAGCGCCACCUGCAUGAGGACGAUAGAGAGAGGAGCUCUGGAAGUCGAUCCAAGUCUCCCAGCUCAGGAAAGAGGAGAGAGAAGACGGAAGAGGAAGUGAGGAAGGUGGACGAACAACAGCAGCAGCAGCAGCAGCAGCAGCUGCAGAACGUCCUGAGAGCUCUGGGGAUGAGCCUGGAGGCGGACGAGCUCAGUCAGCUGAGCGAGCGCACACAGGAGCGUCUGUACGGGAGGAAGACCGAGAGGAGAGCAGAGCCGGAACGCCACACGACACCAGUCCACACGGAAUACAGCCGCCCCUCCUCUUCAUCAUACUCCACAUCUUCCAACGCUUCCCGUUCUCGCUUGUGGUCCACCUCUAGAAGAUCCAGCCCAAGCCCACAGCAGGGCGGAGACUUGGAGCAGCGUGGCUGUGGUUCUGGUUCUUGGGGUAGAAGCUCUGGACAGUGGUCCAGGAGCAGAAGUAUGGACGAACAUGAGUGGAUGAAUGAGAGCGAGGCGGGUGAAGAAGCAGCAAACUACAAGCUUCCCUAUUCACACACUCAACCCUACCCCUCCCCCUCCACACAUGUGGCUCCAUUCUCUGGACAGGGGUCCAGGAGCAGAAGUAUGGACGAACAUGAGUGGAGGAAUGAGAGCGAGGCGGGUGAAGAAGCAGCAAACUACGAGCUUCCCUAUUCACACACUCAACCCUACCCCUCCCCCUCCACACAUGUGGCUCCGUUCUCUGGCUACACUUCAUCCCAGUACGACAGCACCACUCAUCCUCCUUACUGGUCUGACGGUUUUUUGCCUCCUUUCUCCCAGAGCACUGCUCUCCAGAGGGGUCCGUACGGUCCCCGUUACGCACAAAGCAUCAGUUAUGAAAGCAACCCCAACCUGGCCGAGAGCGAAGGCCGGAGCUUGUCUGCCUCACACAAUCACUGCCUGACGACCAUCGGCAUGCAGCCGCCGCUGCUGCCGUCGCCGCUGCUGCCGCCGCUUCACCCAAAUUUUGUGUUGGCCACUUACCGCAGGUACAAAAAGAGGGGGCGGAAGAAGCGAAGGUGCAACAAGAAGAACCCGGAGGGGCUGAUGGGGGUGAAUUCGAUGAGGCCUGAAAUUAAAAUACCAAGACAAGAAGAGGAAGGGCAGAAAGAGAAGCCGUACAAGAUGGUGAUGAAUCUGCACACGGAGGUGGAAAUCAAAGCCAACCUGGAGGAAAAUCUCGAAGCGUUCAACCAGAAGGCGAAGACCAACAACCACCAGCUGCUGUAGUCCCUCCUCCAGCCAUUUACCCCAACUCUCUGAUGGACUGAGGUCGUCUUUGAGGACUUUUCUUUGGACCUGCUCUUGUUUUUGACGCCUCACGAACUUCAGAUUAAACUCCAAACUUUCUAACUGGCCACAUUUUUCAUGUUUCAUGUUAUUUCUCCUGAUGAAGUCAGUCUGCUGCUCUGUGUACAUAAGAUUUUUUUCUGUGUGUUAAUUUCUGUAUUUGUUUCUCCUUCUUUAAUAAGAAAAAUAAAAUCACUUUGUUUUGAUGUAGUUUGGUAAAC
ensembl:lncRNA pollen-specific leucine-rich repeat extensin-like protein 1